rnacentral:ncRNA from 1 species
CGGCACUCUGGAGACACCCGCCGGGCGGGGGCCGAAGGUGAAAGCGUCGCGGGGCUUGCCGCGCGGGGCGAAUCUCUCAGGCAAAAGGACAGAGCAG